rnacentral:lncRNA from 1 species
AUAAGUUGAAAUCGAGAGUUUGACUAAAUCUCGUCUGGUUGGGAAGUAACGGCAUAAUAGGAAGAAAAACAGAACGCCGACCAAAAUGGUGUUGUCAAAGAUUCUUAAACGUUUCGGCUUCCACACGGAAGCCUUGUUCACUGAGCUGAGAAGCAAAAACCUUCAGCUUAAAUUCGCCUUCUGUUAAUUCA